rnacentral:rRNA from 1 species
AAUAUUGGACAAUGGGGGCAACCCUGAUCCAGCCAUGCCGCGUGUGUGAAGAAGGUCUUCGGCUUGUAAAGAACUUUAAGUUGGGGGGAAUGGCUUUAGGUUACUACACUGAAGUUUUGAGGUUACCAACAGAAUAAUCACCGGGUAAAUAUGUGCGAACAGCCGCGGUAAUACAGAGGGUGCAAGCGUUAAUCGGAAUUACUGGGCGUAAAGCGCGCGUAGGUGGUUCAGUAAGAUGGGUGUGAAAUCCCCGGGCUUAACCUGGGAACUGCUUUCAUAACUGCUGAGCUAGAGUACGGUAGAGGGUAGUGGAAUUUCCUGUGUAGCGGUGAAAUGCGUAGAUAUAGGAAGGAACACCAGUGGCGAAGGCGACUACCUGGACUGAUACUGACACUGAGGUGCGAAAGCGUGGGGAGCAAAC